GACGAACGCUGGCGGCGUGCCUAAUACAUGCAAGUGGGACGCAAGAGAACACACUGUGCUUGCACACCGUGUUUUCUUGAGUCGCGAACGGGUGAGUAACGCGUAGGUAACCUGCCUAUUAGCGGGGGAUAACUAUUGGAAACGAUAGCUAAUACCGCAUAAUAUUAAUUAUUGCAUGAUAAUUGAUUGAAAGAUGCAAGCGCAUCACUAGUAGAUGGACCUGCGUUGUAUUAGCUAGUUGGUAAGGUAAGAGCUUACCAAGGCGACGAUACAUAGCCGACCUGAGAGGGUGAUCGGCCACACUGGGACUGAGACACGGCCCAGACUCCUACGGGAGGCAGCAGUAGGGAAUCUUCGGCAAUGGACGAAAGUCUGACCGAGCAACGCCGCGUGAGUGAAGAAGGUUUUCGGAUCGUAAAGCUCUGUUGUAAGUCAAGAACGUGUGUGAGAGUGGAAAGUUCACACAGUGACGGAGCUACCAGAA
rnacentral:rRNA from 1 species